rnacentral:lncRNA from 1 species
AGCUGGCUUGAGCACUGACCCAUUUGAGGGGCUGGUUGCUGACCCCACACUCCUCAAGUCCUCUGUCUGCAGGAUACUAGGAUGCUGACCUUUCAUCAUUCCACUGACGUUAUGUGGCCUAAAAUCCUCAGCCUGAAGAGUCUUGCUCUGUGGUCCAGGCUGGAGUACAGUGGCACAAUCGUAAUUCACUAUAAUCUGGAACUCCGGGGCUCAAGUGAUCCUCCCACCUCAGCCUCCAAAAGCAUUAAGAUUACAGGCAUGACCCACCACACCCAGUCUGUCAUCCAUUUUUAUAGCUGAUUCCUACAUCCGUUUAGUCAUAGAUUCUUCAAUGGCAAGUUAUGCAUCUCUGUAUCAGUUACAAUGCUUACUGAUGCAAGUCAUAAAAACAUGAUUCACAUUGGCUUACAUUCGAUUAAAAUAUCUGGAAAUAAC